UUUGAUCCUGGCUCAGGAUGAACGCUAGCGGUGUGCCUAAUGCAUGCAAGUCGAACGGUAGCUCUUGGAUUCGUCUGGGAGUGAGAGUGGCGGACGGGUGAGUAACGCGUUGGUGGCCUACCUCAGAGAGGGGGACAACCAUUGGAAACGAUGGCUAAUACCCCAGAUGUCAUACUAUUUGGAAAGGUAUGACUAAAGUACGAAUUUAUUCGUGGCGCUCUGAGAGGGGCCAGCGUCCCAUCAGUUAGUUGGUAAGGUAAUGGCUUACCAAGACAGAGACGGGUAGGGGACGUGAGAGCGUGAUCCCCCACACUGGUACUGAGACACGGACCAGAUACCUGCGGGUAGCAGCAGCAAGGAAUAUUGCGCAAUGGACGAAAGUCUGACGCAGCAACACCGCGUGAGGGAUGAAGGCCUUCGGGUCGUAAACCUCUUUUCUGGGGGAAGAGAAAGGACGGUACCCCAGGAAUAAGUCUCGGCUAACUACGUGCCAGCAGCCGCGGUAAAACGUAGGAGGCGAGCGUUAUCCGGAUUUACUGGGCGUAAAGCGCAUGCAGGCGGUUUUUUAAGUUGGACGUGAAAGCUCCUGGCUCAACUGGGAGAGGUCGUUCAAGACUGGAAGACUUGAGGAUGAUAGAGGAGAGUGGAAUUCCCGGUGUAGUGGUGAAAUGCGUAGAUAUCGGGAGGAACACCAGUGGCGAAAGCGGCUCUCUGGGUCAAUCCUGACGCUCAGAUGCGAAAGCUAGGGGGAGAACGGGA
rnacentral:rRNA from 1 species